UAAACGGUUAACUUUGAACCUUGGGGACUCCAAGAGCUCAACGGGAAGGUUUGGCACCUCGAUGUUGGCUCUUCGCCACCCAGGGCUGUAGUAUGUUCCAAGGGUCUGGGUUGUUUGCCCAUUAAAUUGGUACAUGAGCUGUAUUCAGAAUGUCGUGAGAUAGUUCGGUUCAUAUCUAGUGUGGGCGUUAGAGCAUUGCGAGGACCUUUCCCAAGUACGAGAGGAUUGGGAAGGACGCAUCUCUGGUGUACCAGUUAUCGUGCCCACGGUACAAGCUGGGUAGCCAAGUGCGGAGCACUAAAGUAGUGAAAGUGGGCAGU
rnacentral:sRNA from 1 species